UGCUGCAGUGGACUUCAGGAGGAGA
rnacentral:piRNA from 1 species